GUUCAUCAUGAAUAUACAGCUCCAAUAGGUUUUGCUGCGCCAUAUGCACACUGGUUAGAAAUCUUGAUCCUUGGGAUCCCCUCGUUUCUUGGGCCCGCUAUUGCGCCGGGUCAUAUGAUUACAUUCUGGUUGUGGAUUGCAUUCAGACAGAUUGAGGCUAUUGAAACUCACAGUGGAUAUGAUCUUCCUUGGAGUCUCACAAAGUAUGUACCUUUUUAUGGUGGAGCAGAUUACCAUGACUACCAUCACUAUGUUGGUGGCCA
rnacentral:misc_RNA from 1 species